rnacentral:lncRNA from 1 species
CCCCCCCAUGUCCCCCACGAUGUCCCCCCGUGCGUCCCCGCAGGAUCUCGGACCGCGGCGGGGGGAUCCCGCACGAGCUGCUCGACAAGGUCACCCAGUACCACUUCAGCACGGCCGAGGCGAGCGCUCAGGACCCGCGGCUGGGCGGCGCCUUGGGGCAGCUGCUGGCGCUGAGCAACCGCGGCCAGGCGGGGCCCAUGCACGGGUUCGGCUUCGGGCUGCCGACGUCGCGCGCCUACGCCGAGUACCUGGGCGGCUCCCUGUGCCUGCAGUCGCUGCAGGGCGUCGGCACCGACGUCUACCUGCGCCUGCGCCACAUCGACGGCAAGGCCGAGAGCUUCCGCAUCUGAGCGCGGCCGCCCGGACGCCUGGGCCCCCUCGCCCGGACGCCUGGGCCCCCACCCAGACGGCCCCGAACGCCUGGGCCCCCUCGCCCGGACGCCUGGGCUCCUUCCCAGAUGGCCCCGGAUGCCUGGGCUCUUCGCUCCCGGACACCUGGGCCCCUCGCCCCCGGAUGGUCCCGGACGCCUGGGCCCCUCCCCGCCCUCACCUCCGCCACGACCGACCGACCGACCGACCGCCCGGGGCUGCCGCCCUCAUUAAAGCUGCAGCCGCUAACGAACCCGGCGCGCGAGCGGGUUUAUUUCUUUCGGGGGGGGCCCAGGCGUCCGGGCGGCUCUGUGCUGCUCUGCUCCUCCCCUCCCCCCCCCGGAGGGGCCCAGGCGUCCGGGAGGGGAAUCGAGGUGUUAAUCGGUUUCUUGCCCCGAAUUCGCGGUGUCGUCGGCCGCUGGCUCUUCGGCCUCUUCCUCCUCCUCCUGCUGCUUGGGAUCCCCAGUCCUGUCUUACAUGUCACCGUCGUCCUCCUCGGGGUCUCGGCCUUCCUCGCCCUCGGGGUCGCCAUCAUCCUCCUCGGGGUUGUCAUCGUCCUUGGGGUCGCCUUCGUCGUCUUUGGGGUCGCCGUCAUCCUCCUCGGGGUCGCCUUCCUCGUCCCCGGGGUCACCUUCCUCCUCCUCCUCCUCCUCCUCCUCGGAGUCACCUUCCUCCUCGGAGUCACUUUCCUCGUCCCCAGGGUCACCUUCCUCCUCCUCCUUGGGGUCACCAUCCUCCUCCUCGGGGUCGCGGCCUUCCUCCUUCUCAUCCUCGUCGUCCCCGCGGGCGCCGUCGGGGGCCGGGCGGCAGCAGGGGCAGUCGGAGCGGUGGGACGGUUCGGCGUCGCGCCGG